GAUGAACGCUAGCGGCAGGCCUAACACAUGCAAGUCGAGCGGGAUUAGAUUUUAGCUUGCUAGGAUCUAUGAGAGCGGCGCACGGGUGCGUAACGCGUAUGCAACCUACCCUUUGCUGGGGGAUAGCCCGGAGAAAUUCGGAUUAAUACCCCAUAGUAUCACUGAUUCGCAUGUUUUAGUGAUUAAAGGUUACGGCAAAGGAUGGGCAUGCGUCCCAUUAGCUAGAUGGUGAGGUAACGGCUCACCAUGGCGACGAUGGGUAGGGGGCCUGAGAGGGUGGUCCCCCACACUGGUACUGAGACACGGACCAGACUCCUACGGGAGGCAGCAGUGAGGAAUAUUGGUCAAUGGGCGCAAGCCUGAACCAGCCAUGCCGCGUGCAGGAAGACGGUCCUAUGGAUUGUAAACUGCUUUUAUUUGGGAGUAAACUCCGGUACGUGUACCGGCCUGAAGGUACCAAAUGAAUAAGCACCGGCUAACUCCGUGCCAGCCGCCGCAGUAAAAC
rnacentral:rRNA from 1 species